AUGUGGGCUCAUACAUCAGGAUUGAAAAUAAUGCAUGAAGAUCAAUUAAUCAAAGAAGUCCUGGAUAAAUUCCUUAAUUGUCAUGAGCAAACAUAUGAUGAAGAAUUUCUGAACACUUUUACUCAUCUUUCACAAGAGGAUCUUGUGUCCAAAAGGGGAGUGUUUGGAACUGAUUCUUCGGAAAACAUUUUUACCUAAGCAAAAGUUACUCAUAAAAAUGAAGCUAAUGACUACCAUCUUAGAAAUAAAACCAUUUUUCUUCGUACUUCAUCACAAUGUUUGGAAGAACAGGUAGACAAUUUCCUAGAUUUGGAAGAUUUGGACAUGGAUGAAGAGAAUAAACCCCAAAAAAGUGAGGAUUUGCUGCUGCUCCCAGGAGAAGUGGAGUAGGAUGUAAGCACCAGCAUUCCUUCCUGUAUCCUUCUGUGGCCCAGCCUCCCACCUGUGAAGUGAAGCCAAAGCCUACUGUAAAAAGAAUGGACAAACAGAUGGAAGAGAUAUGUGGAGAUGAAGCUCAACCCUUCUCACUUGAUGAGGAAUUUGAUUAUGACAAUGUGACGCUAACCUCCAAGUUUAGUCCUGCAGAGACAGAGACCAUCAAAGAGCUAGGCAAGCAGAAGAGAAAGGACACCAGCCCAGACUUACAGGAACCCUGUGACUGA
rnacentral:lncRNA from 1 species